rnacentral:rRNA from 1 species
GAGAGAGACAUGCGCGCAUAUCAAUAAGCGGAGGAAAAGAAACUAACUAGGAUUCCCUCAGUAACGGCGAGUGAAGCGGGAAGAGCUCAAAUUUGAAAUCUUCAAGGUUCUACCUUGACGAAUUGUAGUUUAAAGAAGUGUUUUCUGUUGGAGUUUUGGUAAAAGUUCUUUGGAAUAGGACAUCAUAGAGGGUGAGAAUCCCGUAUUUGACCAUUAUUUCCAGCUUUGUGAUACACUUUCAAAGAGUCGGAUUGUUUGGGAAUGCAGUCCAAAAUGGGUGGUAAAUUUCAUCUAAAGCUAAAUAUUGGCGAGAGACCGAUAGCGAACAAGUACCGUGAGGGAAAGAUGAAAAGAACUUUGAAAAGAGAGUUAAACAGUACGUGAAAUUGUCAAAAGGGAAGCGUUUGACACCAGUGUUGUUUUCUCGAAAAUCAAUUAAAAAGAGUUAGGAUUUUGUUGUGUAUUGACCUUAUCAGCUUUGCACUUCAUUUUCUUGUCUUUUUUAAUGCACUUUUCGUUUAACAAGUCAACAUCAAUUUCUUUUGUUGUAAAAGGGUCAUUGGAAGGUGGCUUUCUUUUCGGAGAAAGUGUUUAUAGCCUUUGACGACUCCUGCAAUCGGAGAGAUUGAGGUCUGCAGCGUAGAUCCUUCGGGGUUAGAUACAUUUGUGCUAAGUUAUAGCUUUUCAUAGACAACUUGUUGACUAUGAUUAGUCAUUGUAGCUUACUCGCUUAUGCUAUUUUACCUACGCUUAGGAUGUUGAUGUGAUACUGCGAGCA